UGUAUUUCUUAUUAUUUAAAAAAAAUAUUAAAAAUAAUUUUAAAAGGACGCAGUUGUGCGUUUGAGAAACGACCGGAAACGACUUAUAUGUCGCGAGGCCAUCACGUGACCACAAUAUUUACCAGAAGACCGUUAUUUGCUCGAGUGCCCUCAACUUUUUUUGUCGCAAAUAACAUUAUUAAUAACCUGUAAAUAAUACAUUUUGUACACAUUACGUUACUCUUCACUUUGUAAUAGUAUGUUUUUGGUUUAAUAGUCGGCUUUAAGUUCAGUUUAAGUUAAGUUUUUCUGUCAGUUUGAUCGUCAAAAUGUUGAAAGUUAUCUGCAGCCACACAUCCACUGUAUACCAAGUUAUGAUGAUCAAUUAUGAAAAUGCAAAAGGAUUGAUAGAUCAGUAAACAAGCAACAAAAAGAUGGGUGCUCAUGGUGGCCUCCAAAUAAAUACAUGGACAGGCUGCUAAAGAGGGUCAGGAUGAUGGAGAUGCAAGAGCCAAAGACAGCACAGACCAAACACCAGGCCAGAAUUCUGCAUGAGUCAGAUUGAGUAAUUUUCACUCUAGAGACCCUGGGGUGACCACCAAGGACGAAUGCAAACUCCAGUGAGUGUCUCUAAGGUAGAUCCUAAUGCAGAUGGAUGGAAUGUUGAUCCGCCUAACAUGCAAGCUACAGAGGGCAUCCUUUAUUCAGUCCCUAAUGCAGAUGGUUGGAGUGUUGAUCUACCUAACAUGAGGGGUAAAAGAGCGUUUGUUAGCAUAAUGAGAAAGAAAACAGAAACACAUUAUUAGUGGCAUUUAAAGACAUAACUUAACACUUGUUUAUACUACAUUUUAUGUUCAAUCCAUAGAGCAAUCGUUUUGAGUCCUGAGACCCUGGGAUGACCACCGUGAACAAAUACAGAAGCACUCAAUUUGAGUCCUGAGACCCUGGGGUGACCACCGUGAACAAAUACAGACUGCAAAAAGGCAGUCUUGAUGGUACUAGGAUGAAUGCAAAUAAAGACUAACCACCUGACUUCAGCGGUCCAGUCUCUUGUGGGAAGCAGGUGCUUGUUACCCCAAAUACGGAUGAAGUGUGACGAAGAGGAUGAUGACUUUUUUCUCAAACAUCUGCUGAAGAUCUUAACAGGCUGGAGACAAAAUUAACAGACUGAGGGUUUAUACAAAGAAUCUUACUCAGCCAAUAUUAAAGAUAAGAUAUUUUUACAAAAUUUUCUUUUCAUUGUUUAGGAUGAUUUUAUGUAGAAAACAGUACAUCACAAAAAAGACUUUAGAUGUGUUUUCACAGGCAGAGCCUUACACACACACUAACCACAAUUAUAAACGCAACCCUAACACAGAUUUAGACAGAUUUGUGAAUAACAUUUGAGAGAAAUAGGCCUUUUGGGGACAUAGAAAAUAUUUAACUUCAGCUCAUGAAAUGAAAAAUGGUGGCAAAAACAAAUUUUAACAAGUGCAAUACAAAUAUCAACCAUAAUACUGAUCGUCUUUCUAGAAAGACUCAGUUACAUGAACGAUCAAAAUAAAUUAACAUCAGACAGGUGGGCGAAAUAUCAAUAUUAAAGCAUGAAUAACUGUUAUCAACCCAAUCUCGAGGUAUUAUUUAAAUGAUCCGACAGCAAACAGUUUAUUAUUUAAAUGCAUUAUUACUACAUACCUUAAGCAAAUGUUCCACGCCUUUCUUCUUCUUGGCAUUGCGAGGUCAAGCGGAUGUUGUUAUGUAGAAUCAUGACCUUGACGCAAAGACGCACAUCCGUAAUUUAUUUAACAAUGACAACACUUUCGGGUAAUUUUAUCUUCUAGAUCCUAAUUAACGCUAUGAAGAAAGAACAGCCUUUCACGAUUAUUUCCUGACAGCACACGUACGUCUGCCCGACGUCGGCUCAAGAGCGUACGUCGGCCUCCUUAUCUGAAACAUCUAAUAAGUAUCGGCCAGGCAUCGGCCAAAUCUUCAGUCAAGUCAACGGUAUUUCCCGCUCAUCAAGCUUGUCUGUUACGUCGGCUUUGGGUCGGAUAACUAUACCGGAGGCCGAUGCCGCGCUUCUCUCUGUUGGUGCGUGUCCAGUUACUCCUCCCUUUGCUAUGCAACCCACCAGAGCAAAGGCGACAUCAUGGGUGUAUCAAGUAUGUACAAGAACUAAGUAAAUGAUAAUAAGUGAAGAAAAAUGGAAUCCGUUAAGUAAAUGUAAAUGUUUUAAUAUAAUAUACAUGUUGCGAAUUCUUUAUGGUUUAUCUAUUAUUGUACGUAACUUAUCUCGUUAAUGUGUUGGGUUACGUGAAAUGCGCAGUGCAUAGUUUAAAGCAUAUACGUUUCUAGCGUAAGUGUGGUAUUCUCUGUUACGAAAGUAUACUAGCUGGAGUUUUCGUAGAGUUCGCAAGCUUUUCACUCGUGUGCAGCAUCCUUCAGUGCAAGUUAAAGUUUAUGACACAAAACUACCUCAGUUGAAUACAGGCAUGUGUACAAGGUUGAAACUUGCAUAAAUAAAAGCGAAAUCUGAUGACUCCUCCCUAAUCAGAGUACUGAAGUGGUUAACAGCCUUUAAAACUAGCAAUCAGUGGGGAUUAUGAGUCCAUAAAGAUUUUUAUAAAGUUUCUGCGCAAGACUGGACUGUACGCAAGGAUUUAAAGGCUAAACCGAGUCCCUUAAUGACCUGAGGAGGGCAGUAAUACGCCGGUGAUGCGUCUAUGCUGCCGUAAAUUCAAAAGAAGAAGAAGAAGAAGUUCCAUUAAUCCGAAGCAGGAGGGGGUAGUAAUGUACAUACGCUGGUUGCCAGCCGCCGUUAAUACUCAAACAAUUCCACGUCAAUUCGAACACGCAAAACCCCGGUAUGAAGCAUUGUCAUGAGCAUGCCAAACCAACAGAUGGCGAUAUAUUCCUUAACCCAGAGAAGCCACUCCAGUCUCGUCUUGCCAUGAACAAGGAAAAAAUGCGGGAGCUGACUUCGCAGACGUACGUGGUUCAGGUAAGUUUUCGACAAAAAUCUUAUAUUUAAAGUCUUAAAAGUUAGUAUAAGGCACUCCGUCUACUACAGCACAGCAAAUAAAGUCAUAACGUUUGUAGUACUAGCAGCGCUAUUUAGAUUUGAUGCAUUUUUGCUAAAAUGUUUUAUUUAAUAGAGAUUAUAAUUUCCAUUAUUUUUAUCAAUCUAAAUACCUUUCACUUGUUCAGUAUUGUGUUUUUGUUGCUAUGUAAACGAUGAACUUAAUAUAGGCAGAUGGCCAUUGCUUUUCUGAACAGCAGUUGGAAGUAUUCUGAGGUAAUUUAAAUUUUAGGAAAAAUAUGAGGAUGAUUAUCGAUGAUAAUAUAAUUGAGUUC